AGAGUUGAUCCUGGCUUAGAACGAACGCUGGCGGCGUGCCUAACACAUGCAAGUCGAGCGAGAAAGCUCCUCGGGAGUGAGUAAAGCGGCGCACGGGUGAGUAACACGUGGGUAAUCUGCCCUUAGGUGUGGGAUAACCCGGGGGAAACUCGGGCUAAUACCGCAUAAGACCACGUUGCGAGAGCAACGCGAGAAAAGCGGGGGAUCUUUCGGGACCUCGCGCCAAAGGAUGAGCCCGCGGCCCAUCAGGUAGUUGGCGGGGUAAAUGCCCACCAAGCCAAAGACGGGUAGCUGGUCUGAGAGGAUGAUCAGCCACACUGGAACUGAGAUACGGUCCAGACUCCUACGGGAGGCAGCAGUGGGGAAUAUUGCGCAAUGGGGGCAACCCUGACGCAGCAACGCCGCGUGAGCGAAUGAAGGUCUUCGGAUUGUAAAGCUCUGUCAGUGGGAAAGAUGGGACAUCCGGCGAAUACCCGGUAUGUUUUGACGGUACCCACAAAGGAAGCACCGGCUAACUCUGUGCCAGCCGCCGC
rnacentral:rRNA from 1 species